AAUUAUAAAAAUCUGGCUAGCUAUUCUCGAAACGUUCGAAGCCGUACGAACUUCUUAAGCUUAUUUUUACACAUUGGCUACGAUCAAAGUUAAGAAUUCUUAGGGCUACAAACGUUUCAAGAAUAAGGGCCC